rnacentral:rRNA from 1 species
CGAACGGGUGAGUAAUGUAUCGGAACGUGCCUAGUAGCGGGGGAUAACUACGCGAAAGCGUAGCUAAUACCGCAUACUCCCUACGGGGGAAAGCAGGGGAUCGCAAGACCUUGCACUAUUAGAGCGGCCGAUAUCGGAUUAGCUGGUUGGUGGGGUAACGGCUCACCAAGGCGACGAUCCGUAGCUGGUUUGAGAGGACGACCAGCCACACUGGGACUGAGACACGGCCCAGACUCCUACGGGAGGCAGCAGUGGGGAAUUUUGGACAAUGGGGGAAACCCUGAUCCAGCCAUCCCGCGUGUGCGAUGAAGGCCUUCGGGUUGUAAAGCACUUUUGGCAGGAAAGAAACGUCAUGGGCUAAUACCCCGUGAAACUGACGGGUACCUGCAGAAUAAGCACCGGCUAACUACGUGCCAGCAGCCGCGGUAAUACGUAGGGUGCAAGCGUUAAUCGGAAUUACUGGGCGUAAAGCGUGCGCAGGCGGUUCGGAAAGAAAGAUGUGAAAUCCCAGAGCUUAACUUUGGAACUGCAUUUUUAACUACCGAGCUAGAGUGUGUCAGAGGGAGGUGGAAUUCCGCGUGUAGCAGUGAAAUGCGUAGAUAUGCGGAGGAACACCGAUGGCGAAGGCAGCCUCCUGGGAUAACACUGACGCUCAUGCACGAAAGCGUGGGGAGCAAACAG